rnacentral:rRNA from 1 species
UACGGAGGGUGCAAGCGUUAAUCGGAAUUACUGGGCGUAAAGCGUGCGUAGGUGGUUUGUUAAGUCCGUUGUGAAAGCCCCGAGCUCAACUUGGGAAUUGCAGUGGAUACUGGCAAGCUGGAGUGCGGUAGAGGAAGGUGGAAUUCCCGGUGUAGCGGUGAAAUGCGUAGAGAUCGGGAGGAACACCGGUGGCGAAGGCGGUUCUCUGGGCCUUACCUGACGCUGAGGAGCGAAAGCGUGGGGAGCGAACAGG